rnacentral:rRNA from 1 species
GAUGAACGCUGGCGGCGUGCCUAAUACAUGCAAGUCGAGCGAACGGACCAGAAGCUUGCUUCUCUGAUGUUGGCGGCGGACGGGUUCGUCACACGUGGAUAACCUACCUAUAAGACUGGGAUACCUACGCGAAACCGGAGCUAAUACCGCAUAAUAUUUUGAACCGCAUGGUUCAACAGUGAAAGACGGUCUUGCUGUCACUUAUAGAUGGAUCCGAGCUGCAUGAGCUAGUUGGUAAGGUAACGGCUUACCAAGGCAGGGAUGCAUAGCCGACCUGAGAGGGAGAUCGGCCACACUGGAACUGAGACACGGUACAGACACCUACGGUAGGCAGCAGCAGGGAAUCUUACGCGAGGGGGGAGAGCGUGACAGAGCAACGUCGCGGGAGGGAUGAUGGUGCUCGGAUGGGUAAGCGCUGAAAGUAGGGAAGAACAAAUGUGUAAGUAACUGUGCAGAUCUUGACGGUACCGAAACAGAAAGCCACGGCUAACUACGUG